AGAAGGGAAAUAACUGAGUCAAAGGAGAGAAAGGAGCCGCUCAUCAGCCUAGGGUGAACAUCCGAAUGGUGGGUGGCAUUCCGGGUGCUGAUGGAGCCUGACCCUCUAAUCCUGGAUGGCUUUUCGAAAGGAGAUGGCGAAGAAGGAACUGGACACUGAAGCGGACGUUCAGCACCUUAGAGAAUGUGAACGAGACCAAAAGAGCGGACUGGACAGUACCGCGUUACUGGGCGGGGCCGUCGUCAGGGCUAGACUGCUUGUUGCCUGCCCACGAGUGAGGCUACGUAUUCAAUCACCACACCGGGACUAAAGAAAAGACGAUGGAUGUGUAAGACUUUCAUCGCAGCCAGUGUAGCUCUGAAGUUGAGAAGGGUGGGUGCUGCAUAAAGCCCAUUAGGCACGACGAGGGUGAUGGGAAGAGCGGACGGAAAAUGGAGCCGCACUGCACUCCAUUAAAGAGUGAAUGCGUAGCAGAGGCAAUUUCUAAAGGCCCGAGCAGGAACGAGAAUCCUGUAUGAUCGAAUACAUUUAAAAGUCGGUCUGGUUCAUAGCCCUAAGUGCAUCAAGAGCAAGCAGGACGUGCAAUCUACAGGACUUGCACUUUCACGCACGGCCACUGUGUUUUUUCUUUGGUUCGGUGGUUUUUCUUUUGCAGGGCUAGAGAGGGAAGCCAGAGCAUUGAAAUGGUCCGGAGGCCGUUCCAUUAUCCAGCCACACCACAGGGCCCAAGAUAAUAAUUUUUCUAUUGGAAGAUAGUCGGUGUCAGAAUUCUUUUUAUUGGUUGUAGAGCUGGCUCAGCGGGUAAAGGUGCUUGCUGUCAAGCUGAUGACCUGAGUUCAAGUCACAGGACCCACAUGAUGGAAGACCAGAAGCCACUCUCACAGUUAGUCCAUUGAUCUUCGACUGCACCUUGGCCUUUUAUUGACAGGAAAAAGGUUAGCCAUCCGUAUAAGGUUAGGAAAGGAUCAUUACAGAUAUAACGUUUUAAAAACUC
rnacentral:lncRNA from 1 species